rnacentral:rRNA from 1 species
UACAGAGGUCUCAAGCGGUGUUCGGAUUCAUUGGGCGUAAAGGGUGCGUAGGCGGCGCGGUAAGUCGGGUGUGAAAGCCCACGGCUCAACCGUGGAAGCGCAUCCGAAACGGCCUCGCUCGAGUCUCGGAGAGGAAGGUGGAAUGCUUGGUGUAGAAGUGAAAUUCGUAGAUAUCAAGCAGAACACCUGCGGCGAAGGCGGCCUUCUGGACGAUGACUGACGCUGAGACGCGAAAGCGUGGGGAGCAAACAGG